UGGGGAAUAUUGGACAAUAGGGGAAACCCUGAUCCAGCGACGUCGCGUGGGUGAUGAAGGCUUUCGGGUCGUAAAGCCCUGUCAGGAGGAAAGAACACCCCCAUGGUAAAUACCCAUGGGAAAUGACGGUACCUCCAAAGGAAGCACCGGCCAACUCCGUGCCAGCAGCCGCGGUAAGACGGAGGGUGCAAGCGUUGCUCGGAAUCACUGGGCGUAAAGGGUGCGUAGGCGGCCUCUUAAGUCUGGCGUGAAAGCCCAGGGCUCAGCCUUGGAAGUGCGCUAGAAACUGGGGGGCUUGAGUAUCGGAUGGGAGAGUGGAAUUCCUGGUGUAGCGGUGAAAUGCGUAGAUAUCAGGAGGAAUACCGGUGGCGAAGGCGACUCUCUGGACGAUAACUGACGCUGAGGCACGAAAGCGUGGGGAGCAAACAGG
rnacentral:rRNA from 2 species